rnacentral:misc_RNA from 1 species
GAACCUGGUGCCCUCCUCCCCGGGAACCUGGUGCCCUCCUCCCCGGGAACCUGGUGCCCUCCUCCCCCUUACUCCAAUCCCAAUGCAUGGAUAGAGGCUUGACGGUGUUUGUGGCAGUUCAUGUCCCGGAUGUGUUACUAAAUGGGUGGCGCUGGAGGCUUGGGGCGAUACCACCACUCGUUUGUCUGUUGGCGAUUAGUGUUGUCCCCCCGAGUGGCCAGCGUGGCCCCGUACCAUUUAGGACACGAGUUGCAACGGGCGCGCACUGAAGCUAGCGUGCCCUCCCGAAGAGUGUCAGUAAAAUAAAAUACAAAAACACAAUCACGGUUGCACCAAGCACAACAUCAAACACAUACAAUGCUGAAGAGUAGGAGUAUCGAGGGCAUAUCCGUGGCUCAUAACACAGUCACAGUUCAGAAGGCCGGCACGCGGUGUCAACCAGGCCACCAUUCCUCUCCGCAUUAAAGCACUCGGUGGGGGAGGGUGCCCUGGUUGACACAAUGUGCCGCGCAUCAACCAGCGCGACGGAAGUUGGCCUCCAGCAAAGCAUAUUUUGCACGCAAAUGGUGUCCGCUCUCCCAAACCACACGAAUGGCACCAUGGCAAAAAACACUCCCCCACAAUGUAUUGACCUUGUUUGUUAAUGAAAUUGUGGCACUGACUUCGGCAGACGCCAAGUGGUGGAUAUAGAACCACCUUUCAUGGCAGUACAUUGCUGCAUGUGCCACAUGUUCAAAAGCAAUAAACAGAUUAAAAGAA